UGUUCACUUUAAUGUUUCCGUUAAUAUGAAUGGACGUUGCAGUGAAAUUUUUUGCAAAAAAAAAUUUGUCUGUUUUUGUAAGUCAGACAAGAUCUAAUUUGAUUUUCUUCAGGCUUCCAAUCGCUAGCGUUAGUGUCAAUGUCGAUCAGUGUAUCAGCGAUCUGCUCGUUACCCUUGCUCUCGGUAUGAAUUGAUUCGGUGGAGUUUGGCUACUCGCCCUGGUAGUGUUAUGAAUUUUUUUUGUCGUUCUGCUCGCUUCCCUGUUGCUCGGAAGUUAUGGCGGAAGUUGUUCGCUGACUGGAAUUCAAUUGCUCGAAGCCGAGCGGAGGUAAUGCUGCUGUAUCUGUAAACGCUAAUUUUUGAGUCAACCGCACCUGCUACCGGAAGUCUUGCCUCUCCUUCGUGAUCAUUGGUGCCUCUGGGGAAUUUGCGCUCACUGAUUGGACGGCCACGCUAUCGAUCAUCCAAGGGGCGGGACGGUUGGCGCAGUUAAGUAAGCCCCCACUACUAAGAUCCUGAGGGGUGACCAUUGACCAGAAACUUAACUGGCCUAGCUCGAUAAAUAUUGUGACUGCAAGAGCAGGUUAGAAGAAAAAUCCAGCACAAAGUGGCCAGCUUGAUUGUCGCCCUUAAACGUUCACUUCCUCCAACACUGACCCACCGUGUACAGCAUCUACACAAUGUACUCCAGCAACUAUAGACUUCUUUGUCAGCAUUUUGUAAAUCUGAAACUUCGAACAUCUAGAAGAACAAAGGCGGCAGCUACAUGGGAACACCGUUUGUAAAGCCCUCUCCAAUUCAGGGGGAGAUGUUGACCUAAUCGUAAUAUCACUGGAUUAGUAGUCUUAAAAACUUAAACUAAUGUUCUGGGGACAUGGCUUCAAAUCCUACUAUGGCAACUAGCUGAAUUUAAAUUGAAAAUUCUCUGUAAUAGUGGCCAUUUGUUGUCUAUCUGUUUUGAGGGAAGGAAUUCUGCCUUCCUUAUCUGGUCUGGUUACAUGUAACCCUUAGGCUCGCUAACCAUUGAAGAGUAAUUCAGGAUGGGAAACAAAUUCUGACCUUGUCAGCGAUAGUCGUAUCCUAUCAAAGAAUUUUCAAAGUCUCUCACCAUCUUAACUUGAAACUAUAUCACCAUUUCUUCACUGCUGUGUCAGAAUCCUGGAACUCCUUCCCUAACAUCACUGUGACAUGGCAGUCCAUCUGGUAGAGGUAAUGAAGUUUGAAGAAGGCACCUUCUUUGACACCAACUUCUCAAGAGCAGUUAUGGAUGUUCUUGACUGUGAUGCUCAUUUUCUGAGAAGAAAAUUUGGAAAAAAAAGUAGUGCUUCCUCAAAUGUUAGGGUUGAGUGUAUUUGUUCAAAUUUGACAGCAGUGAAGGGAAGGAUUAUUCCAGGUGUGGUUAAGGUUGGUUUCUGCUUAAUUUAGUUCAAGGACUGACAAGUUUACAUUUGUGCCGAGACCAGUACCAAGAGCUAGUUGACUGCAAUGUGUGUAGAAGCAACAAUUUGACCAUAUGCUGCAUUGAUAGCCCUAUUGCCAAGGGGAUCGCAUACUGUUUUAAUGACUUAAAUCCAGGGUUACUGAAGGAUUAUGUGAAAAUUACAUAUGCUAAUUGAACACUGCUUAUGUAUCUGUAUUGGAUUGGUACUGUGAGGUGUACAUGUUGUAUUUGAACUCCAAUGUGCUGCUAACAAAUUUAUUUUCUAUUGGUUUCUGUUGCUCUGGUUAUUCUGAUGUACAUUUUUAAUCUGUAAAUUGAAGCCACAUGUAUUUGUUGUGUGUUGGGGAGGCUAAUUUCACCUAGACACACACACAUUUUAAAAGUAUAUAUUUUAUCAUUAUUUAGGUAUUCCCUGAAUCAUCUAUGACCACAUGUUGAUAAGUUUUGUAAUGCAGUAGCUCCCAUCACUGCAGCAUCUCCUUUUGGUGAUGAGGAAUAAUUAUUAUGUGGUAAAUUUACAUGGGCAAUUUUCACAACAAAUAUGGCUGUAGGCAUUUACUGUCCACAUACAAAUUUAAUAUAUACUGUAUUUGUUUCUGUAAACAGAAAGGAGAACUCAGUAAUCAUGAUUAAAAUUUACUGCAUUAAUGUAA